AGCAGAAACCUCCGCUGAGAGCUUUUGAGGGAAAUGCAGCUUAGAAUAAAAAUAAUCUCCGAAAUUGUGCGGAGGACAACGACAGUUCGAGGCGAAGCUCUGUACCUGAAAAAAAAAAAAAGAAAAGAAAAAAGUAGUGAAAUCUGAGAAACAUAAAUGAUUGAUAGCAUCUCAGGCUGAAGACUGCUGAAACGUGUCGAUGACAGCAGGACCUGGCGCUGAAAACAAUCAUCAUACCAAAUGACAGAACAAUUAGCGUUGCCAGCAGAGAAAAUAGUAAGUGAACCAACCAAAGGCCAGUGUGUUUAUUUUCCCACUCAGAGACAUCGUCUUCCCAGGUGGGGACUCUGAAAACAUUCCUGCUGAAGCUGACACGGUUUUUACUUCAGUGAGGGACUGGUCUGUUCCAAGCAGGAAAUUAACCCAAACUUUAAGAGAAAGCAACACAAGCUGCUGAACAUACAAAGCUGAUAAAACAGAGUGUCUGUAACGUUAGAAAAACUGCACGCUCUCAUAUUCUGCAAGAGGA
ensembl:lncRNA